rnacentral:rRNA from 1 species
AUUGAUUUCAUCCUCUCGAGAAGAGAAGAUAGGCGUGCGUGCCUAGACUGUAAGGUGAUACCUGGGGAGAGUGUUGUACCCCAGCAUAAGCUGGUGGUUGCUGACUUCCGCUUUCGGAUUCGUGUCCAGCGGGAUAAGCGUGCCAAGGUCGCUAGAACGAAGUGGUGGAAGCUCAAGGGGGAGGUAGCUCAGGUGUUCAAGGAGAGGGUAUUUAAGGAGGGCCCUUGGGAGGAAGGAGGGGAUGCGGACAAUGUGUGGAUGAAGAUGGCGACUUGCAUUCGUAAGGUUGCCUCGGAGGAGUUUGGAGUGUCCAGGGGAAGGAGAAGCGAAGAUAAGGAUACCUGGUGGUGGAAUGAUGAUGUCCAGAAGGCACUUAAAGAGAAGAAAGAUUGCUUCAGACGCCUAUACCUGGAUAGGAGUGCAGACAACAUAGAGAAGUACAAGAUGGCGAAGAAGGCCGCAAAGCAAGCUGUUGGUGAAGCAAGGGGUCGGGCAUAUGCGGACCUCUACCAACGGUUAGGCACGAAGGAAGGUGAAAGGGACAUCUAUAAGAUGGCUAAGAUCCGGGAGAGGAAGACGAGGGAUAUUGGCCAAGUCAAAUGCAUCAAGGACGGAGCAUGCCAACUCUUGGUGAAGGACGAAGAGAUUAAGCAUAGAUGGCGGAAGUACUUCGACAAGCUGUUCAAUGGGGAGAAUGAGAGUUCUACCAUUGAACUGAAUGACUCCUUUGAUGAGACCAGCAUGCGUUUUGUGCGGCGCAUCCAGGAGUCUGAGGUGAAGGAGGCUUUAAAAAGGAUGAAAGGAGGCAAGGCG